AUUGAACGCUGGCGGCAGGCCUGACACAUGCAAGUCGAGCGGAUGAAGGGAGCUUGCUCCUGGAUUCAGCGGCGGACGGGUGAGUAAUGCCUAGGAAUCUGCCUGGUAGCGGGGGAUAACGUCCGGAAACGGGCGCUAAUACCGCAUACGUCCUGAGGGAGAAAGUGGGGGAUCUUCGGACCUCACGCUAUCAGAUGAGCCUAGGUCGGAUUAGCUAGUUGGUGGGGUAAAGGCCUACCAAGGCGACGAUCCGUAACUGGUCUGAGAGGAUGAUCAGUCACACUGGAACUGAGACACGGUCCAGACUCCUACGGGAGGCAGCAGUGGGGAAUAUUGGACAAUGGGCGAAAGCCUGAUCCAGCCAUGCCGCGUGUGUGAAGAAGGUCUUCGGAUUGUAAAGCACUUUAAGUUGGGAGGAAGGGCAGUAAGUUAAUACCUUGCUGUUUUGACGUUACCAACAGAAUAAGCACCGGCUAACUUCGUG
rnacentral:rRNA from 1 species